rnacentral:misc_RNA from 1 species
UUUAUAAUUUCUUUUUUACUUCAGAUAGUGUAAACUCUAAUAUCGGCCCAAUGAUGCCGAUUGGUAUACAGAUGUUCGCUACAAUAACGUCCAAGGAUCAUGCAAGAAAUAUUCAGCAAGAUCUUCAAAAUAUUUACUUUACUGAUGCGUACAGAGAUACAAUACUUCAGUGUACAGACGGUCAUAUGGUCAUCAGUAGACUUCUCACCGGCCUUCUUUUUCCAUUUCUCAAGGAUAACCUGAGUUUCCAGAUGGUAGAGGAGGCCACCUUGAUCCUUCCUGAGCAUAAUAAGCUGGAGAUUGAGAAAUCUAUUUAUCAUCUUCUAGGAAUUAAAUAUUCAGACCAAUCCCAGGAUGUUCCCAUGAUGGGAGAAUGGAAUGAAGAAGCAAUUGAUACAAUCAUAGAAACCCUAGAACCAGAGAAGGUGGGAAGGAUAGGAAAGAUGAAAACAAGAUCAGCUGUUCUACACUCUACACUGACGAAAGAAACUGCUGUCAUUCAUGCAUCUACAGAAGAAGAAAAGGAUUUCUCUGACUCCGUCCUGGUUGUACACGAGGUUGAUACAGACGAUGAUUCCAAGAAGACCCAGAUACAAACACCAGUCGUUCAAUCCUUCAAUAUUCCAGUGCGGAUUCCUUCCGACGAAGUUAUACCGCGAGGAUUUCUGUGUUCUAUUUGCCACACCUUGUUCCCAGCUCAAGAUCUUCUAAUGAAUCACAUCAAGAUUCAUAAUCAGAAAUAUAAAUGUCAAGCUUGCGGAGCAGCAUUCUGUAAGAUGCGUGAGCUGACGGAGCAUAGCAGAUCCCACUCUGGACAUCAGUUAGUCAAAUGUAAAAUAUGUGAUAAGGAUUUUACAGAGAAAGGUUUGCGACUUCAUACAGAGAGGUUCCACAAGGUUGAAUUGGAGGCAAGUAAACCUGUGAAGAAGAGAGAAUUAAGAGAGAUCAAACCUGCUCCGGAGGAGAAGGAGGAGGAGGUGGAUGAUCUAGAGAUGGAGGUGGAGGAGACAGACGACCACCAGGAGGAGCUGGGGAAGGAGGAGGAGGAGGAAGUCCAGGGGAAACAGAACAAAUAUCCUCAAAACAAUGUGUAUUUCAGUUCCUCUGACUCGGAUACUGAAGACCCCAACUCUAUGUCGGACGGGACGGAGAAAGCUCCGAUCAAGGUUCGGAAAAGUGAACUCUGUGAACCCUGUGAUAAAUACUUCACGAAGAAGGGUUUCAAGCUCCAUCAGCAGAAACACCACAGGCAGGGGUCGGAGCGAAGACAGAAAGGAGAACGCAAGUUGAGAGAGGUUAAGGACAAGGAAGGGAAGGUGGUGAAGGAGAAGGAGGGGAAGAAGUCUGCUCUAAAGAAGAUGUUCAGCUGUAUGUACUGUCACAAAAAGUUUUCCCAUAUGGCGAGUAUGAAGGUUCAUGAGAAAGUACAUCUUGGCGGAAAACCGCAUCACUGCGACAUGUGCGACGCAAAGUUCUCAAAUAAGUUCGACCUGUUUGCGCAUGAGAAGGAGCACAGCGCUCACCGACCGCACAAAUGUGACAUGUGCGCACAAACCUUUAAAACACCUGAAUCCUUACGCUUCCAUAAACUGAUCCACGAGGAAAGUUUACCAACUGUUUGUAGAUUUUGCUCCAAAAAGUUUAAGAAUAAGAGUCAGCUGGAUGUUCAUGAGAAUAUACAUACCGGAGAGAAAACCCAUUCCUGCUCACAAUGUAGUCAAUGCUUUGAAACUGCAACAAAACUAACACGACAUAUAACUGCAAACCAUCUUAAAGAGAAGGUUGUUAUCACUUCCAGUAGUUAAGAUUAGAUCUGAUUUAAAACAUCUUUUCUUAUCACAUUCUUUAUUUAAACAAUUGUAGUAUAUACUUUAAACAGAAAGAGAUUUCGGUGUUAUUUCCUCAGCGGGUUUAUACUAAUAUUAGCUGUCACGCUUAAUGGAAUCAUUGUUCGUGUUUCAUCUAAAAAAUGUCUGUUUUUGUUGUAUAUUUUAUUCUGAUAAUACGCUUUUACUGACGCUACGCGCCAUCUUUCCUAUUAACAAUUUUAGCGUUUAAUUUUUGCUCUGAAACUUUACUUCUAUUUUUUUUUAUAAAUAUUCUGCAAGUACAAAAUCUCUUAACUGAAGAUUAAACCGUGAAAACUAAAACAGUGAACCAAAAACCUCAAAAGUCUGAAAAGGCAAACGAAAUCAAUUGCCCAACACUAACCAUGGGAAAGGGCCUGUUGACGUAUUUUCACGUGACCUUCCAUUAGGAGUUCCAUUCGCGAUUCACAGCGGUACCUUUUUUAUUUUUAUUUUCGGAACAUUGGAGAUGUCGUCGUUUUUCUAUCUUGAAAAGAGAUAAGUUGUGCAAAUCCUCAAGUAAUGUUUAAAGAGAACCUCUAGAUAAAAACUAUUAAUUUUAGAUUAAAUAGGAUGUGUUCAAUCAGUUUUAGUCAGGGUUUGAAGGUACCGUUGUGCAUCGGGCACAUUUUACUUUUAAAAGUGUCCCUGGAAAUUGCGUCGACAUUACCUUUAAGAAAUCGGCAAUAUUUCGUGAUUAUAAAGCAUGUAACUAUUUAUUAUUUUAUGAACUGGAGAAUUCAUGUAUCGUUGAACUAAUUGUAAUUUUUUCACUUGCUAAUGUAGAAUAUAGAAUAGGUUUUUAAAUUCAA